rnacentral:rRNA from 1 species
CCUACGGGGGGCAGCAGUGGGGAAUAUUGGACAAUGGGGGGAACCCUGAUCCAGCCAUGCCGCGUGUGUGAAGAAGGCCCUCGGGUUGUAAAGCACUUUCAGUGAGGAAGAACGCCUGGUGGUUAAUACCCAUCAGGAAAGACAUCACUCACAGAAGAAGCACCGGCUAACUCCGUGCCAGCAGCCGCGGUAAUACGGAGGGUGCGAGCGUUAAUCGGAAUUACUGGGCGUAAAGCGCGCGUAGGUGGCUUGAUAAGCCGGUUGUGAAAGCCCCGGGCUCAACCUGGGAACGGCAUCCGGAACUGUCAAGCUAGAGUGCAGGAGAGGAAGGUAGAAUUCCCGGUGUAGCGGUGAAAUGCGUAGAGAUCGGGAGGAAUACCAGUGGCGAAGGCGGCCUUCUGGACUGACACUGACACUGAAGUGCGAAAGCGUGGGUAGCAAACAGGAUUAGAUACCCUAGUAGUC